AAUUUUGGACAAUGGGGGAAACCCUGAUCCAGCCAUCCCGCGUGUGCGAUGAAUGCCUUAGGUUUGUAAAGCACUUUUGGCAGGGAAGAAAAGGCUCUGGUUAAUACCCGGAGCUGCUGACGGUACCGGCAGAAUAUGCACCGGCUAACUACGUGCCAGCAGCGGCGGUAAUACGUAGGGUGCAAGCUUUAAUCGGAAUUACUGGGCGUAAAGCGUGCGCAGGCGGUUUGGCAAGAAGGAUGUGAAAUCCCAGGGCUUAACCUUGGAACUGCAUUCUUAACUGCCAGGCUAGAGUAUGUCAGAGGGGGGUAGAAAUCCGCGUGUAGCAGUGAAAUGCGUAGGGAUGCGGAGGAAUACCGAUGGCGAAGGCAGCCCCCUGGGAUAAUACUGACGCUCAUGCACGGAAGCGUGGGGAGCAAACAAG
rnacentral:rRNA from 1 species